CAGAGCGCUGGCUCCGCUGUCCUUUCGGGACACACUUGGAGACACUCGGCUUUAUUUCUUUUCUCUUGUUUCACCCCAAGAAAAAAAAUCUUCCUUAAUUUUUAGGAGUUGCUACGAAUUUAUCCCCGGAAUCCCAAGGUGAUGCCAUCCCACCAGCUUGGCCACGGGGAGUUUCUCACGUUGCUGUUUUGCUACAGAUUUUUCCGGAGAGAAAACUUUUUCUUUCCUUGCAAUAAAUUUUCCACUUACAUUUUUUAAGGGAAGAAAAUGUUUUCCGGUGCUUUUGCUGCCUCUCUGUCAGGAGUGAUUACUCCCAGAUUUAUUGGGACUUGCAAAGGAGGCAGCAAUACGGGGGAUCUUCGAACCUUGCCGGGAUAAUGAUGCAGGCAGAGCUUGGCAGCCUCAGAUCUGAUUUAUGGAGCAAGAUUUCACCCGUCCCGGAAAAGUCCUUGAAAAUCGAAGGAAAACCCCUUGAAAUGCAGCAGAAAACGAAAGCGCCGAGCUCGGCGUUCCCGCCGGGUGAAUCCCGUCCCGUCCCGCGUUUGUUUUCACGGGAUUCGCUCCCUCGAUCGUUGUUAAAUCGUUAAUUCACGGCACGGUUUGACACCAAACGCUGCUCCUGAGCCGGCACCGGGACAAAACCAGGAGCAUCGAGGCGUCAACAACACAAAAAACAAUGAGGGAAAAUUGUUAAAAAUUGAAUUUUUACGAAAUUCGCUGUUUUCCUGGAAAAUUUCCCUCCUUUCCAGUGCUGUGUCCGUCUGUUAUCCCCCCUUGCUGCAACCACACGCUUUGUACGUAGAAACUCCACAAUCUCCAUGUAUUUAUACAAAUUUAGGGAUUUAUGCAGUUACUUGCAUGUGAUUUUCACAUGCUCAUCCUCAUCUUCCUGUCAUCCAGACACAAAAUUCCAUGAUUUUAGUGUCCCUGUGCUGAGAAGAUAAACUAACAUGGAAAUACACUGGUUUGGAGCAAAAUAAUUAUAUUUGCAUAGGAUUAACUUCUUCGGGAAUAUAUCAGAUCAGCUAUAAAUAGGUAUUUUUAUAUAAAUAUGAAUUAAUAUUUAAAUAUUUUUCUAUAUAAAUAUGCAUGUAUUAACACAGAAUUACAGAAUUACAGAAUCAUGGAAUGAUUAAAACUCAUCUCAUUUCACCCCUUGCCAUGGCAGGGACACCUUCCACUAUCCCAGGUUGCUCCAAGCCUGGUCCAACCUGGCCUUAAAUAUUUCCUGGGAUAGAAAAAAUACUAAAAAUAUAUAAAAUUAAAAUAUUACACAAUUAAUAUUUAAUUAAUUCAGCA
rnacentral:lncRNA from 1 species